rnacentral:rRNA from 1 species
UACACUCCUGCGGGAGGCAGCAGUGGGGAAUAUUGGACAAUGGGCCCAAGCCUGAUCCAGCCAUGCCGCGUGAGUGAUGAAGGCCCUAGGGUUGCAAAGCUCUUUCACCGGUGAAGAUAAUGACGGUAACCGGAGAAGAAGCCCCGGCUAACUUCGUGCCAGCAGCCGCGGUAAUACGAAGGGGGCUAGCGUUGUUCGGAUUUACUGGGCGUAAAGCGCACGUAGGCGGACUAUUAAGUCAGGGGUGAAAUCCCGGGGCUCAACCCCGGAACUGCCUUUGAUACUGGUAGUCUUGAGUUCGAGAGAGGUGAGUGGAAUUCCGAGUGUAGAGGUGAAAUUCGUAGAUAUUCGGAGGAACACCAGUGGCGAAGGCGGCUCACUGGCUCGAUACUGACGCUGAGGUGCGAAAGCGUGGGGAGCAAACAGGAUUAGAUACCCCGGUAGUCCCAUG